AACAAAUAGAGAGAGGUUAGAGGUGGUGGUGUAUAGACAGAGAGAGGUUAGAGGUGGUGGUGUAUAGAUAGAGAGAGGUUAGAGGUGGUGGUGUAUAGAUAGAGAGAGGUUAGAGGUGGUGGUGUAUAGAUAGAGAGAGGUUAGAGGUGGUGGUGUAUAGAUAGAGAGAGGUUAGAGGUGGUGGUGUAUAGAUAGAGAGAGGUUAGAGGUGGUGGUGUAUAGAUAGAGAGAGGUUAGAGGUGGUGGUGUAUAGAUAGAGAGAGGUUAGAGGUGGUGGUGUAUAGAUAGAGAGAGGUUAGAGGUGGUGGUGUAUAGAUAGAGAGAGGUUAGAGGUGGUGGUGUAUAGAUAAAGAGAGGUUAGAGGUGGUGGUGUAUAGAUAGAGAGAGGUUAGAGGUGGUGGUGUAUAGAUAGAGAGAGGUUAGAGGUGGUGGUGUAUAGAUAGAGAGAGGUUAGAGGUGGUGGUGUAUAGAUAGAGAGAGGUUAGAGGUGGUGGUGUAUAGAUAGAGAGAGGUUAGAGGUGGUGGUGUAUAGAUAGAGAGAGGUUAGAGGUGGUGGUGUAUAGA